GUUGACCUCGGAUCAGUAGA
rnacentral:rRNA from 2 species